CGGGGAAAGAAACUACCAGGGUUUCCCCUAGUAAAGGCGCAGUGAACCGGGAAAGAGCUCAAAUUUGAAAUCUGGCGUGCUCAGUGCGUCCGAGUUGUAAUCUAUAGAGUCGUUUUCCGUGCCGGACUGUGUCCAAGUCCCUUGGAACAGGGUAUCAAAGAGGGUGAUAAUCCCGUACUUGACACAAUGACCGGUGCUCUGUGAUACGUCUUCUACGAGUCGAGUUGUUUGGGAAUGCAGCUCAAAAUGGGUGGUGAGUUCCAUCUAAAGCUAAAUAUUGGCGAGAGACCGAUAGCGAACAAGUACCGUGAGGGAAAGAUGAAAAGCACUUUGGAAAGAGAGUUAAACAGUACGUGAAAUUGUUAAAAGGGAAACGAUUGAAGUCCAGUCGUGACUGAGAGGCUCAGCCGGUUCUGCCGGUGUAUUCCCCUCAGUCGGGUCAACAUCAGUUUUGUUCGGUGGAUAAGGGCAGUUGGAAAGGUGGCACCCUCGGGUGUGUUAUAGCCAGCUGUCGCAUACAUCGGAUGAGACUGAGGAAUGCAGCUCGCCUUUAUGGCCGGGGUUCGCCCACGUUCGAGCUUAGGAUGUUGACAUAAUGGCUUUAAACGACCGUCUGGAAACCCGGACCAAAA
rnacentral:rRNA from 1 species